UACAGAGGGGGCAAGCGUUGCUCGGAAUUACUGGGCGUAAAGGGCGCGUAGGCGGGAUGGCAAGUCGGUCGUGAAAUCCCUCGGCUCAACCGAGGAACGUCGAUCGAUACUGCUGUUCUUGAGGAUUGCAGAGGAGACUGGAAUUCCCGGUGUAGCGGUGAAAUGUGUAGAGAUCGGGAGGAACACCGGUGGCGAAGGCGGGUCUCUGGGCAAUUCCUGACGCUGAGGAGCGAAAGCGUGGGGAGCAAACAGG
rnacentral:rRNA from 1 species